rnacentral:rRNA from 1 species
UAAGCGACUAAGCGUACACGGUGGAUGCCCUGGCAGUCAGAGGCGAUGAAGGACGUGCUAAUCUGCGAUAAGCGUCGGUAAGGUGAUAUGAACCGUUAUAACCGGCGAUUUCCGAAUGGGGAAACCCAGUGUGAUUCGUCACACUAUCAUUAACUGAAUCCAUAGGUUAAUGAGGCGAACCGGGGGAACUGAAACAUCUAAGUACCCCGAGGAAAAGAAAUCAACCGAGAUUCCCCCAGUAGCGGCGAGCGAACGGGGAGGAGCCCAGAGCCUGAAUCAGUGUGUGUGUUAGUGGAAGCGUCUGGAAAGGCGCGCGAUACAGGGUGACAGCCCCGUACACAAAAAUGCACAUGCUGUGAGCUCGAUGAGUAGGGCGGGACACGUGGUAUCCUGUCUGAAUAUGGGGGGACCAUCCUCCAAGGCUAAAUACUCCUGACUGACCGAUAGUGAACCAGUACCGUGAGGGAAAGGCGAAAAGAACCCCGGCGAGGGGAGUGAAAAAGAACCUGAAACCGUGUACGUACAAGCAGUGGGAGCACAGAGCAAUCUGUGUGACUGCGUACCUUUUGUAUAAUGGGUCAGCGACUUAUAUUCUGUAGCAAGGUUAACCGAAUAGGGGAGCCGAAGGGAAACCGAGUCUUAACUGGGCGUUAAGUUGCAGGGUAUAGACCCGAAACCCGGUGAUCUAGCCAUGGGCAGGUUGAAGGUUGGGUAACACUAACUGGAGGACCGAACCGACUAAUGUUGAAAAAUUAGCGGAUGACUUGUGGCUGGGGGUGAAAGGCCAAUCAAACCGGGAGAUAGCUGGUUCUCCCCGAAAGCUAUUUAGGUAGCGCCUCGUGAAUUCAUCUCCGGGGGUAGAGCACUGUUUCGGCAAGGGGGUCAUCCCGACUUACCAACCCGAUGCAAACUGCGAAUACCGGAGAAUGUUAUCACGGGAGACACACGGCGGGUGCUAACGUCCGUCGUGAAGAGGGAAACAACCCAGACCGCCAGCUAAGGUCCCAAAGUCAUGGUUAAGUGGGAAACGAUGUGGGAAGGCCCAGACAGCCAGGAUGUUGGCUUAGAAGCAGCCAUCAUUUAAAGAAAGCGUAAUAGCUCACUGGUCGAGUCGGCCUGCGCGGAAGAUGUAACGGGGCUAAACCAUGCACCGAAGCUGCGGCAGCGACACUGUGUGUUGUUGGGUAGGGGAGCGUUCUGUAAGCCUGUGAAGGUGUGCUGUGAGGCAUGCUGGAGGUAUCAGAAGUGCGAAUGCUGACAUAAGUAACGAUAAAGCGGGUGAAAAGCCCGCUCGCCGGAAGACCAAGGGUUCCUGUCCAACGUUAAUCGGGGCAGGGUGAGUCGACCCCUAAGGCGAGGCCGAAAGGCGUAGUCGAUGGGAAACAGGUUAAUAUUCCUGUACUUGGUGUUACUGCGAAGGGGGGACGGAGAAGGCUAUGUUGGCCGGGCGACGGUUGUCCCGGUUUAAGCGUGUAGGCUGGUUUUCCAGGCAAAUCCGGAAAAUCAAGGCUGAGGCGUGAUGACGAGGCACUACGGUGCUGAAGCAACAAAUGCCCUGCUUCCAGGAAAAGCCUCUAAGCAUCAGGUAACAUCAAAUCGUACCCCAAACCGACACAGGUGGU